rnacentral:sRNA from 1 species
AAUAUUUCACUAUGAUUUGAGAACCACCUAUGUGAAAAUUUUCUUAAUAACAUCUUUGGACCAGGCAGGGCUCAAUAUAUCUCUUCCCAAGUAGUAUGGUUUCUGAUAGAUUUUGGUAUCACA